ACAGCAGGGUAGUCUGUCGCCUGUGGUCUCACAGGAGGAAAGUCCGGGCAACACAGAGUACCAUAUUUCUUAACGGGAAGCUAUCUGUGAAGGUAGAGUAAUGUAACAGAAAAUAACCGCCACUUUCGGGUGGUAAGGGUGAAAAGGUGAGGUAAGAGCUCACCGGUCUUUGCGGUAACGCGAAGAGCCGUACAUCUUAUGGGUUGUAAGGUUAUGUAUACCGACGUUGUAGGGCUACUCGUCCGAUGUCGGGGGGUAAACCGCUGGAGCCUUGUGGUGACAUAAGGCCUAGAUAAAUGACAGACGCCUUUUAUUAGGUACAGAACCCGGCUUAUCGCCCUGCUGUUUUC
rnacentral:RNase_P_RNA from 1 species